rnacentral:rRNA from 1 species
UACGUAGGGUGCGAGCGUUGUCCGGAAUUAUUGGGCGUAAAGGGCUCGUAGGCGGUUUGUCGCGUCGGGAGUGAAAUCCACUGGCUUAACUGGUGGCUUGCUUUCGAUACGGGCAGACUGGAGGUAUGCAGGGGAGAACGGAAUUCCUGGUGUAGCGGUGAAAUGCGCAGAUAUCAGGAGGAACACCGAUGGCGAAGGCAGGUCUCUGGGCCACUACUGAUGCUGAGAAGCGAAAGCAUGGGGAGCGAACAGG